ACCGAAAUAGCUCAGUUGGGAGAGCGUUAGACUAUAGAUCGAAAAAUCACUGGUUCGAUCCCGGGUUCCGGCA
rnacentral:tRNA from 1 species